CCUGGAUAAACAUAAACAGAAAGAACAGGCCACAUGGUAUGCAAAAUGGUCUAAAAAAUGUGGUCCAUUUAAGAAUGUAAAGGGGUUAUCACUUUAAACCAAAAGAAUAAUAAGGGCCCAACUUUAAAUAACUAUUGGGCCAAUUCACUGAAGCCCAUCAACUAGCCCAUAUUUCUAGCCAUUAAUUCUUCCAAGAGUUCCAAUGGUUAACCAAUAUCUUCAUCAACCUGUUUAAGGGGAUGAGAUCAAUUUACAAGAAAUCAACAAAAAUACCAAUAGGGGGCUGUGAAUGUCGAUUUCUUCUCCUGCCAAAUAAAAACAAGUUAAAAAUCUGACUGAAAAAUUCAUUUCUAUGCCAACCCGCCACCAUCAUAUCAUGUCUCAAUCAGAUUAAUGCUAACCCAUUGGACAAACGUGAGAACCCUUAGUCUAUUACUGGCUGCUUCUUGCUAAUGCCGACGAUUGCUCUAGCGGCCUUGUUUGGAGGUCUGGAAUGCAGUGCUACCUCGAGAAAAGUACUAACAGACCAUGAAAUGCUUCACCUACCUCGACGGUUGUUAAUUGCUUUUUACUAUCUGACCUUGCAACAAAUGAGGGUGAAGGGAGAUUGGGAUUUCUCAAAGGUGUUUGCCUCUCCCGUUCACCCAAUGAUUCAUCCUUUAACUUCCAAAUCAACAACCCUUGUGUGUGUGUAUGUUUACAUCCGAUACAUAUGCAUAUAAAGAGAGAUGGAUGUAUAGCAUGAAUUCCAGUGGAUCUUUCAAUCCCUCCGUCCGGAUCUGGAGUCGCUUCUUCCUCUCUUCUUGCUCUCUAGUUAUAUAUAUCUUGUCGGUGGCAACUGCUACUGUGGUUACCAGGCUGGUCCUGUGAUUUUCAAGGCUCGAGACGAGCUUGGUAAAGUUGGCUCCCCC
rnacentral:lncRNA from 1 species